rnacentral:rRNA from 1 species
AUUGAACGCUGGCGGCAGGCCUAACACAUGCAAGUCGAGCGGAGCGGCGGACGGGUGGGUAAUGCCUAGGUAUCUGCCAGGUUGUGGGGGAGAACGUCAGGAAAGGGGCGCUAAAACCGCAAUCUAUCGGAUGAGCCUAUGUCGCAUUAGCUAGUUGGGGGGGUAAUGGCUUACCAAGGCGACGAUCCGUAGCUGGUCUGAGAGGCUGAUCAGUCACACUGGAACUGAGACACGGUCCAGACUCCUACGGGAGGCAGCAGUGGGGAAGAUUGGACAAUGGGCGAAAGCCUGAUGCAGCCAUGCCGCGUGUGUGAAGAAGGCCUUCGGAUUGUAAAGCACUUUAAGUUGGGAGGCGUUACCAGCAGAAGAAGCACCGGCUAACUUCGUGCCAGCCGCCGCGGUAAUUC